UUUUCAAACAAAUUCCGCCAAGAAACAUGCGCGGUCGAUUUCGGUAGUUUCCGGUAUUUUCCCGGAAAUCUCCGAUUCCAUUUAUUGCUGGUUUGUAUCACUUAAUUAUUUUGUUUUUCUUUAAUUAAUGCUAUUUUGGCAAAAACAAGAUUAACGUGCAUCUAAAAUAAUAACAUGAUGGGAAAAUUAUGAUAUUACAAAGUUCUAUAAAUAAAAAAUGUGCGGUGGCGCUAAUUAGCACGUGAUGCAAACAAACCGUUCAACAACAACAACAACACGAGGAAACAUGCGUGAAAAGGCAAACAAACAAUAUUUGUAAACACGAGAACAACUGCUGGCGGUACACAUUAUAAGAAGAUCACUUUAUUGGACGAGAAGUUGUUACGCCUACAAAUUUGUUACGCCUACAAAUUUCAGACGUUGCAUCUUGAAGACAGCGAUCACUUCAUGAUCAUUCUCACAGGAAAGUGAAGAGAAAAUGGCCAACAGGGAGUGUAUAUUGGGAAAAUUGAAACCUUUCAAAGCAACUGAUGAGUACUACAAUCUUCUGUCAGAGGAGGAAGCAGCAACCCCCAAGUCAUUCACAAGAUUACAAAAGGGCUAUGAAUUGUUUUUUUCUGCUGCCAAAACCAAGAAUGCCUUCACAAUUAGCUUCGAAUAUGAUAAUGGAGAACAGUGAAAGUUUUUGUUAGUAAGAAAAUCAGUCUUGGAGAGGAAGGAAAGAGAUCCGUGAUAACAGAUGAUACCUUAAAGCACUAUCUAGAUAAACAUAUAUGCAAGUAAUCUCGCAUCAACAAAUAUGUGUCGUAGCAGUGAGAAAGCUCAUUUUCAAAAGUGUGUUUUUGGAUAUCAGACCAACCAUGACAUUUAUAAACAGUCCUCCAGAGUUGGUUGAACACAGUACAUGUACAUUAGUCCGGAGGAUUUAAUCAUAACUGCCACCAACAAGGUUGAAGUGGUUUUUACUGGUUUGAAAUGUGAGGUGUAAUCAUACAGUAAACAAAUAAUAUAGUAUUAACAUCGUUAUAGCA